rnacentral:rRNA from 2 species
CGGACAGAAGGGAGCUUGCUCCCGGAUGUUAGCGGCGGACGGGUGAGUAACACGUGGGUAACCUGCCUGUAAGACUGGGAUAACUCCGGGAAACCGGAGCUAAUACCGGAUAGUUCCUUGAACCGCAUGGUUCACGGAUGAAAGACGGUUUCGGCUGUCACUUACAGAUGGACCCGCGGCGCAAUACCUAGUUGGUGGGGUAAUGGCUCACCAAGGCGACGAUGCGUAACCGACCUGAGAGGGUGAUCGGCCACACUGGGACUGAGACACGGCCCAGACUCCUACGGGAGGCAGCAGUAGGGAAUCUUCCGCAAUGGACGAAAGUCUGACGGAGCAUCGCCGCGUGAGUGAUGAAGGUUUUCGGAUCGUAAAGCUCUGUUGUUAGGGAAGAACAAGUGCGAGAGUAACUGCUCGCACCUUGACGGUACCUAACCAGAAAGCCACGGCUAACUACGUGCCAGCAGCCGCGGUAAUACGUAGGUGGCAAGCGUUGUCCGGAAUUAUUGGGCGUAAAGGGCUCGCAGGCGGUUUCUUAAGUCUGAUGUGAAAGCCCCCGGCUCAACCGGGGAGGGUCAUUGGAAACUGGGAAACUUGAGUGCAGAAGAGGAGAGUGGAAUUCCACGUGUAGCGGUGAAAUGCGUAGAGAUGUGGAGGAACACCAGUGGCGA